UGUCCUCCAUAGGAGGUCUAUAUCGAGCAGAUUCUUUUUGGUAUUGGGUGGUGGAACCGGAGCGUGCUCCAUCCACUCCAUGCAUUGACCUGGUAUUGCAGUGCUUCCAGGACCGGUGC
rnacentral:snRNA from 1 species